AGUGAACGCUGGCGGUAGGCCUAACACAUGCAAGUCGAACGGCAGCACAGUAAGAGCUUGCUCUUACGGGUGGCGAGUGGCGGACGGGUGAGGAAUACAUCGGAAUCUACUUUUUCGUGGGGGAUAACGUAGGGAAACUUACGCUAAUACCGCAUACGACCUACGGGCGAAAGCAGGGGAUCUUCGGACCUUGCGCGAUUGAAUGAGCCGAUGUCGGAUUAGCUAGUUGGCGGGGUAAAGGCCCACCAAGGCGACGAUCCGUAGCUGGUCUGAGAGGAUGAUAGGCCACACUGGAACUGAGACACGGUCCAGACUCCUACGGGAGGCAGCAGUGGGGAAUAUUGGACAAUGGGCGCAAGCCUGAUCCAGCCAUACCGCGUGGGUGAAGAAGGCCUUCGGGUUGUAAAGCCCUUUUGUUGGGAAAGAAAAGCAGCAGGUUAAUACCCCGCUGUUCUGACGGUACCCAAAGAAUAAGCACCGGCUAACUUCGUG
rnacentral:rRNA from 1 species